CUCUCCCAUCUUUUCUCCAGUCACCUCUCUGUUCCUAAUUAGGAAGAAGAAAGUCCAUAGCUGAAAAGCAGUUGGCAAAUCCAGAUGGGCAUCAGGAAAUCGCAGUUUUUUGGAAGAGUUGAAACCUUAGGAUUGGUGUUAACUCUCCUGAUGGAGGACUUCCGGCAGUGCUUCAGGAGAUGCCGAGGAUGAUGGGGUAAGUGUGUUCAAAGUGCAGGGGAGCAUUUUGAGGGAGAUUAAUGGC
rnacentral:lncRNA from 1 species